AGAAAUUGGACAAAUGUUGGCUUUAUUCACUUCACCGUUCGAUUGGUUUUUCGUAUCUUCACGGUCUAUUCAACUUCGUCGCAAAGGGUUUUCCUCUAUUCAACGCUCUGUUUCAUAUAUCUUGGGAUGGAGUUAUUCAAAUCAUAAAAUGAGACCAAUGUUGUCUUGCGAUUCUAAAAGGCAUUUCUUGUCUACCUUUAUCCACUUCAUAGCCUAAGCUAAUAGUGAGAAUCUAUUGAAGUCCAAUGGGUGAAGGUUGUGGCUAUGAUAGAUGGAAGAAAGUAUGCACAAGUCCAGUAAUGUGCUUCUGCUGUUAAUCAUGUUUGGUUACAAUUCUUGCCAAAGCAACUAAAUAGAUGAGGAAAUUAAGCCUAACACAAGUUUAUCUAUAGGGGGGGAGAAAGGGAAGGACAUAAAACCCUUUGUUAAUAAAAUCGUAAGUUGAACUUCUAACUCUUAAUUUUUAUAUGCGGAAACAACUUUAUUGCAUGGUUAGGACCAGCCAAGCGGGUCUACUUUAGAAGUGAUGCCAACAGAAUUAAGCACACUGGUUUGUGGUCUUUGAUUCAAAUGUUGGUGUCCAGAUGAGCAAGCUAUAGAUUUUCCGUACCAAUGUUCAAUUUGUGUAUAGUUGUUUGUUAUUUCACUUUAGCUGAUAUUCAGCUUUCGGAUAUUGGAGAUACUAGUUUUUCUGAGUGAAGACUAACAAACUUCCAAUUUUUGAUUUUUGGAA